rnacentral:rRNA from 1 species
UACAGAGGAGCCAAGCGUUGUCCGGAUUGACUGGGCGUAAAGCGCACGCAGGCGGACGCGCGCGUGGGGUGUGAAAUCUGGCCGCUUAACGGCCAGGCGCCAUCCCAUACGGCGCGUCUGGAGCAAUGCAGAGGUCGGUGGAAUUGCCGGUGUAGUGGUGAAAUGCGUAGAGAUCGGCAGGAACACCCAGGGGGAAACCAGCCGAUUGGGCAUUUGCUGACGCUGAGGUGCGAGAGCGUGGGGAGCGAACCGG